CCUGACGCCAAUGUUAUCAUUAAAUAACUCCGACAAGCUGAAGGUUUGGAGAUUGCUAAUAGUGUAUACUGGAUUCGUUUUGGUGAAUGGUUUUCUCAAAAGAAAUUCAAAUCUAGCAGCCCCUUUGGUAUCAAAUACGUCUUUCA